UAGGGAAUAUUGGACAAUGGGCGAAAGCCUGAUCCAGCAACGCCGCGUGCGCGAUAACGGCCUUCGGGUUGUAAGGCGCUUUUAGAGGAGAUGAGAAAGGACAGUAUCCUCAGAAUAAGCCUCGGCGAACUACGUGCCAGCAGCCGCGGUAAAACGUAGGAGGCUAGCGUUAUCCGGAUUUAUUGGGCGUAAAGCGCGUGCAGGCGGUUUGAUAAGUUGGAUGUGAAAUCUCCCGGCUUAACUGGGAGCGGUCGUUCAAAACUAUCAGACUAGAGAAUGGGAGAGGAAGGUGGAACUCCGGGUGUAGUGGUGAAAUGCGUAGAUAUCCGGAGGAACACCAGUGGCGAAAGCGGCCUUCUAGACCAUUUCUGACGCUAAGACGCGAAAGCUAGGGUAGCAAACGG
rnacentral:rRNA from 1 species